CCUACGGGAGGCAGCAGUGAGGAAUAUUGCGCAAUGGGGGAAACCCUGACGCAGCAACGCCGCGUGAGUGACGAAGGCUUUCGGGUCGUAAAGCUCUGUCAGAAGGGACGAAACUACUGGGUGCCAAUACCACCUUGUAUUGACGGUACCUUCAAAGGAAGCACCGGCUAACUCCGUGCCAGCAGCCGCGGUAAUACGGAAGGUGCAAGCGUUAAUCGGAAUCACUGGGCGUAAAGCGCGCGUAGGCGGUUAGAUAAGUCGGGUGUGAAAGCCCCGGGCUCAACCUGGGAACUGCAUUCGAUACUGUCUGACUAGAGUGUGAUAGAGGGAGGCGGAAUUCCGCAUGUAGCGGUGAAAUGCGUAGAGAUGCGGAGGAACACCAAUGGCGAAGGCAGCCUCCUGGAUCAACACUGACGCUGAGGCGCGAAAGCGUGGGGAGCAAACAGGAUUAGAUACCCUGGUAGUCCACGCCGUAAACGUUGUGUGCUAGGUGUCGCGGGUAUUGACCCCUGCGGUGCCGACGUUAACGCAUUUAGCACACCGCCUGGGGAGUACGGUCGCAAGGCUAAAACUCAAAGGAAUUGACGG
rnacentral:rRNA from 1 species